rnacentral:rRNA from 1 species
UAAUACGGGGGGGGCAAGCGUUGUUCGGAAUUACUGGGCGUAAAGGGCUCGUAGGUGGCCAACUAAGUCAGACGUGAAAUCCCCAGGCUCAACUUGGGAACUGCGUCUGAUACUGGAUGGCUUGAAUUCGGGAGAGGGAUGCAGAAUUCCAGGUGUAGCGGUGAAAUGCGUAGAUAUCUGGAGGAAUACCGGUGGCGAAGGCGGCAUCCUGGACCGAGAUUGACACUGAUGAGCGAAAGCUAGGGGAGCAAACGGG